rnacentral:rRNA from 1 species
AUGUGUCAUGAAUUUAAAUUUGCUAAAUUUCGUAGACAACCCCGUGAUGAGGAAUUGCCUAAUAAGGAUGAAAUUAUUGGUCUUGCUUCUAUUGCCAUGCCUCCUAAUGACCCUUUAGAACAAUAUCUGCUUGACCAUGAAAAUGAUAUGUUUAUGAAUGAAAGAAGGGAAAUAGAUGAAGUAUUCUUUAAACAGGGACCCAUUCUGAAACACAACUUGCCUGUUGAAAUCCUAGGGGAUCCUCCUCCACCCAAGGGUGAUCCCGUGUUUGAGCUUAAACCAUUACCUGAUACUCUUAAAUAUGCUUAUCUUGAUGAAAAGAAGAUAUAUCCUGUUAUCAUUAGUGCUAACCUUUCAGAGAAGGAGGAAGAGAGAUUACUGAAAACUCCGAAGAAGCACCGUGCUGCUAUUGGAUAUAGUCUUGAUGAUCUUAGGGGCAUUAGUCCCACUCUAUGUCAACACAAAAUAAAUUUGGAGAAAGACGCCAAACCAGUUAUUGAUCACCAACGACGGCUAAAUCCUAAGAUGAAAGAAGUGGUAAGUCCUGUCCAUUGUGUCCCUAAGAAGGGAGGUAUUACUGUCGUUCCUAAUGAUAAAGAUGAAUUGAUCCCGCAAAGAAUUAUUACAGGUUAUAGGAUGGUAAUUGAUUUCCGCAAAUUAAAUAAAGCUACUAAAAAAGAUCAUUACCCUUUGCCUUUUAUUGAUCAAAUGCUAGAAAGAUUAUCCAAACAUACACAUUUUUGCUUUCUAGAUGGUUACCCUGGUUUCUCUCAAAUACCUGUGUCAGCUGAGGAUCAAGAAAAGACCACUUUUACUUGCCCUUUCGGUACUUUUGCUUAUAGACGUAUGCCUUUUGGUUUAUGUAAUGCACCUGCUACCUUUCAAAGAUGCAUGAUGGCUAUAUUCUCUGACUUUUGUGAAAAGAUUUGUGAGGUUUUCAUGGAUGAUUUCUCUGUUUAUGGAUCCUCUUUUGAUGACUGCUUGAGCAACCUUGAUCGAGUUUUGCAGAGAUGUGAAAAAACUAAUCUUGUCUUGAAUUGGGAGAAAUGCCACUUUAUGGUUAAUGAAGGUAUUGUCUUGGGGCAUAAAAUUUCUGAAAGAGGUAUUGAAGUUGAUAAAGCUAAAGUUGAUGCUAUUGAAAAGAUGCCAUGUCCUAAGGACAUCAAAGGUAUAAGAAGUUUCCUUGGUCAUGCCGGUUUUUAUAGGAGGUUCAUUAAGGACUUCUCAAAAAUUUCUCGGCCUCUGACUAAUCUAUUACAAAAAGAUAUACCCUUUGUCUUUGAUGAUGAUUGUGUAGAAGCAUUUGAAAUACUUAAGAAAGCUUUGAUUUCUGCACCUAUCAUUCAGCCACCUGAUUGGAAUUUACCCUUCGAAAUUAUGUGUGAUGCUAGCGAUUAUGUUGUAGGUGCUUUUCUAGGACAAAGAGUUGAUAAGAAGCUAAAUGUUAUCCAGUAUGCUAGUAAAACUCUAGAUAGUGCCCAGAGAAAUUAUGCUACUAGUGAAAAAGAAUUCUUAGCAGUUGUAUUUGCUUGUGAUAAGUUUAGACCUUAUAUUGUUGAUUCUAAAGUAACUAUCCACACUGAUCAUGCUACUAUUAAAUAUCUGAUGGAAAAGAAAGAUGCUAAACCUAGACUAAUUAGAUGGGUUCUCCUACUACAAGAAUUUGAUUUGCAUAUUAUUGAUAGAAAGGGAGCUCAGAACCCCAUUGCAGACAACUUGUCUAGGUUAGAGAAUGUUCUUGAUGACCCACUACCUAUUGAUGAUAGCUUUCCUGAUGAACAAUUAGCUAUCAUAAAUGCUUCUCGUACUGCUCCCUGGUAUGCUGAUUAUGCUAAUUACAUGGUUGCUAAAUUUAUACCACCUAGUUUCACAUACCAGCAAUAG